CUAUACACACAUACAUAGAGAUAGAUGAUGGAUAGAUAGAUAGAUAGAUAGAUAGAGAAAACCAUCAAUAUUUUUAACAUCUGUUGGAUUAAAAUAUUCCAUAUUAUUGUUCACUGUAAAAAUGAUUCUCAGAGGACAUGCAUUCUCCAAGUAAAUACAGAAAUAGCAAUAGGGAAUGCAGAAGGGAUCACCUUCAUGUAUGCUGAAUUACUAAGUAACUUUCCUGACUUUAUAAAUAACUUUUCAUUUAUUCUUCAUAUUUGAAAGAACAAUAAAAUAAAAGGUGUGAGUUGAUUUUCUGUGUUAUGCAAAAUAUUCUGUCCAAUGGGUUCCUCAGUUAUCUUAGGACUCCUGGACAAUGGCUAGGGAUUAUGCUAAUUCACUUAUAAAUAUUUAACAUGGGAGGAUAUUGUAAUAGUAUUCAUUAUAGCAAGGUUCCUUUCCAUGUAGUAUAAAUUGUUCAUUAUUGGUGGCACAGAUGGGAAAUCAUAUAGAAUAUCUAUCUGCUUAGCAUGUGUAAUGUAGUGUUGGUUUAUGGUAAAGAUAUUUCUCCAACAACAACAGUUUCAUUAGACAAACAAACAUCCUCACAUGCUUCUGAUUGCUGCCACGCACAAAGUCUGUGAGCAUCACUUUCUUUUCUUUUGUUAUGUUUCACGUCCCUGGUAGUUUUGUUCCUAGACGGAAACUCGUGGAUGUACAAUGUGUAGAUUGCCUCCCAUAACAAUGCUUUUGAACUCUCCAGAUGAGAUGGGAAGUCCAUCUGAUCAGCGGAAAUGGCCACCUGCCCAUUCUCACAUAAGUAUCUGUAGUUAAUUUUCAGUCACUUGUACAUGCUUCUGUAAGCUGUAUUGGUUUAAAAAACAGCAACAACAAGGACAAAACAAAGGCACUUUCUCCGUCCCUUAACCCUAUUCUCCUUCUUUGGGAUAAAUCCAUUUUAUUGAAAAGGAGAGAGUUUGUUUCUUCUGCCAGGCAAAUGAUGUCCUGGUGAACAGAGAAUGCCUGUCACUGAUAAGCGUAUACAAUACGGUCUUCCUUGGGGAUGGUGUGGUAAAUCACGGAAACCUUUGUCAUUGUUAGAGUGUUACCUCAGAGUUUAGAAAGGGAAAUGGAAAGAAAGGUGCUACAGCAAACAGGUGCCUAAUAACUCUGACUGGCCUAUUGGAAUUUAGAAAGAAAAAUGGCUUAAUGCUCCUUCCUGAUCAUUUUUAAAUUAUGCAUUUGCACAUUGUAUUAGCCCCCCGGGAAGUCCUGAUGAUAACAGGAGCUCCCUCACUGUGACAAUCCAGCCUGACUUUAUCAACUAUGCUCUGGUGGUAUUAGAAAUGUAAUUAUUCAGCAAACAAUUUAAUUUGUCCUUGUUGGGGAUGAGGCGGGGGUAAUGGUUGGAUCACCUGAGUUUAAUGCACUUUGUUGUUCUUAUCUUAACAGCAAAGACCAUAUUAAAAGUCAUCUCUAAUUGUCACAAUUCCUGGAGUGAAAUAAAAUUAAGUCAUCAACUAACAAACCAGUUGAGAGUCUUAAGAAAUGAUUGCAAGUAUGUGUCUCAGUUUAAUGAAGAUGACACAGAGAGUUAGCUUACAAGGUCACCUAAAUGUGAUUUCUUUUACAUUAUGUAUUUAUUGAAAAUAGUUUUACACUUCGGUAUUGGACAGGACUGAGCAAUAUAUGCCAAAGUGUUUUGCCAUUUUUAAACAGUUGUGAUGUCAUCAAGUAUCCUUUAAACCACUCAUACUGGUCUCAUUAUUUUUCAAUAACUUUAUCUUUACUAACAGAAAAUUGAUCAUUAAAUCGGUUUUCUUUGUUUUAAAAUAAUGCUCAGAGGAUUCAUAGCUAACCCUGUUCAUGAACACUUGUCUAUGACUGUUUACAACACCAGUGUUCAAGCAGAGGUAAAUUUCAACCACAGCAAUACUAAUGUAAAUGCAACUAUUAAUGAACUGAAUCUCACAUUACUUACAAUAAGUGUGGGAGGAGAGAGACUGCCCCAUGUAGUCAUUUGUCAGUGAGAAAACACUUUUUUUUUCUGUGUCCCAUUGGUUUCAUCUCUAUUCAGAAUAUAAAGUGGGUAGAAAAUUCCAUUCACCUAGCACUAACACCUAAGGAAA